rnacentral:rRNA from 1 species
AUUGAACGCUGGCGGCAGGCCUAACACAUGCAAGUCGAGCGAGCGGCGGACGGGUGAGUAAUGUCUGGGGAUCUGCCUGAUAGAGGGGGAUAACUACUGGAAACGGUAGCUAAUACCGCAUACCAUCGGAUGUACCCAGAUGGGAUUAGCUAGUAGGUGGGGUAAAGGCUCACCUAGGCGACGAUCCCUAGCUGGUCUGAGAGGAUGACCAGCCACACGGGGACUGAGACACGGCCCAGACUCCUACGGGAGGCAGCAGUGGGGAAUAUUGCACAAUGGGCGCAAGCCUGAUGCAGCCAUGCCGCGUGUAUGAAGAAGGCCUUAGGGUUGUAAAGCACUUUCAGCGGGGAGGCGUGACACGCAGAAGAAGCACCGGCUAACUCCGUGCCAGCGGCCGCGGUAAUUC